rnacentral:rRNA from 1 species
AUUGAACGCUGGCGGCAGGCCUAACACAUGCAAGUCGAGCGGAGCGGCGGACGGGCGAGUAAUGCCUAGGAAUCUGCCUGGUAGUGGGGGAUAACGUCCGGAACCGGGCGCUAAUACCGCAUACUAUCAGAUGAGCCUAGGUCGGAUUAGCUAGUUGGGGGGGAAAAGGCCUACCAAGGCGACGAUCCGUAACUGGCCUGAGAGGAUGAUCAGUCACACGGGGACUGAGACACGGUCCAGACUCCUACGGGAGGCAGCAGUGGGGAAUAUUGGGCAAUGGGCGAAAGGCUGAUCCAGCAAUGCCGCGUGUGUGAAGAAGGUCUUCGGAUUGUAAAGCACGUUAGUUUGGGAGGCGUUACCGACAGAAUAAGCACCGGCUAACUGCGUGCCAGCAGCCGCGGUAAUUC